CAGGCGGCCAUCGGCUUGCACGCAGUGCUCGGCGUAGGCUGCGUGGUUCGUCUGCAAACACGUUCAAAAGAAAGAUGCUGCUGGAACGUGGCUGCCAAGCCUGCGCAACUUGAACACCGAAGAAUGGUCGAGAGCGCACAAGGGAAAGAACUCUCUGUGAAAGUAUGUCGAUAGUAUUCUUUGCUCGGAUCUGAACACGACAGCAUUGCAGGCACAAGUAAAGAUGUGCCUUUGUGACAGUAUUUUCAACAAACUCAGCUCAGAUCACCUCACUUAUCAGUAAUAUUCCCGUGCACAGUCUGCAGAUGAUGUUCACACGCCAGCAACCCGAAUUUCCUCCUUGUCUCCUUUCACAGUGUGCACAACUCCAUUCUGUCCUGUACUCUCGGCUCCUGACCUAUACAGUGCACAACCACGACGCGCGCAACGAAAUUGCAUUGUCACUAAUCUCAACUCUCUGCAUGUCAUGAGCCCCCAAUGCUCUAAAACAGUUCUUGAGAUCAAUAGCAGUGCUUCAUUUUGAAUUCACUUUCCAGCCUCUGCCGGGUCCCCCCACUCGUAGGGAACAUCCAGGCCGAUCCCCCGCGCCUCCAUGCCGUUCGAAUUCGAAUUUGGCUUUGAGCGCGUGGAUCGCCCCCCGACGGACGCCACCCGCCGCUUCCGAAUCGUCAGCUUCCCUGACGGCUGCAGCUGCGCCGGCUCUGCUGCCGCUUCUGCCAGCUUCCUGGCAGCUGCUUUCCUCGGAGCACUCUUCGUGCUGCGGCCGGUAGGCUCUGCAGCUGCAGGUGGCUCCGCCUUGACCUUCUUGGCUGCUUUCCUCGGAGUGCCUUUUGCGCCUG
rnacentral:lncRNA from 1 species